GAUGAAGAACGUAGCGAAAUGCGAUAAGUAAUGUGAAUUGCAGAAUUCAGUGAAUCAUCGAAUCUUUGAACGCACAUUGCGCCCGCCAGUAUUCUGGCGGGCAUGCCUGUUCGAGCGUCAUUUCAACCAUCAAGCCCCAGGCUUGUGUUGGGGACCUGCGGCUGCCGCAGGCCCUGAAAACCAGUGGCGGGCUCGCUGUCACACCGGGCGUAGUAGAUUUUAUCUCGCUCAGGGCGUGCUGCGGGUUCCGGCCGUUAAAAAGCCUUUUUUACCCAAGGUUGACCUCGGAUCAGAUAGGAAUACCCGCUGAACUUAAGCAUAUCAAUAAGCGGAGGA
rnacentral:misc_RNA from 1 species